rnacentral:rRNA from 1 species
CGCGUAGGCGGCCCGCUAAGUCGAACGUGAAAUCCCCAGGCUCAACCUGGGAACUGCGUCCGAUACUGGCAGGCUUGAAUCCGGGAGAGGGAUGUGGAAUUCCAGGUGUAGCGGUGAAAUGCGUAGAUAUCUGGAGGAACACCGGUGGCGAAGGCGGCAUCCUGGACCGGUAUUGACGCUGAGGCGCGAAAGCUAGGGGAGCAAACG